rnacentral:rRNA from 1 species
GGGUGCGAUCAUACCAACGUUAAUGCACUGAAUCCCAUGAGAACUCCGCAGUUAAGCAUGCUUGAGCUAGAGUAGUAUUGGGAUGGGUGACCUCUCAGGAACUCCUAGUGUUGCACCCU